rnacentral:rRNA from 1 species
ACAGUAUAAUACUAUUCUAGAGUCCAUAUUGGCAAUAGGGUUUACGACCUGCAUGUUGGAUGGCGUAACCAUCAUUAAGGAUCCAUUUGUUCAAUGAGUAAAGUCCUACAUAAUCUGAGGUUAGAUCAGAACAAUCCAUGUU